rnacentral:tRNA from 1 species
GCCCACCUGGCGGAAUCGGUAGACGCAGAGGACUUAAAAUCCUUCGGGCGAAAGCCCGUCCGGGUUCAACUCCCGGGGUGGGCACCA